UACGUAGGGUGCAAGCGUUAAUCGGAAUUACUGGGCGUAAAGCGUGCGCAGGCGGUUUUGUAAGUUUGUCGUGAAAGCCCCGGGCCUCAACCUAGGAAUUGCGAUGAAGACUGCAAGGCUUGAAUCUGGCAGAGGGGGGGUAGAAUUCCACGUGUAGCAGUGAAAUGCGUAGAGAUGUGGAGGAACACCGAUGGCGAAGGCAGCCCCCUGGGUCAAGAUUGACGCUCAUGCACGAAAAGCGUGGGGGAGCAAACAGG
rnacentral:rRNA from 1 species